GACAAUGGAGUAUGGUCCAAGAUGGUUAUUAUAGUAGUCCUCACUAUGUUGUGAAAUAGCAUGACAAUAAUUAUAAUGAAGAAUUUAUUUGAGUUUGGAUAUUGUCUACAAGACAAUAUUUGUAUUAAAACUCACAGCUUAUUUGUUGUCGUAUUUUGCACGACAGUUGUAUUAAUGAAGUUUGUAUUUGAAUUUUGUACCAUAUUUUUGGCGACUCGGAA
rnacentral:lncRNA from 1 species